rnacentral:rRNA from 1 species
GGAUGCGAUCAUACCAACACUAAUGCACCCGAUCAUCAGAACUCCACAGUUAAGUGUGCUUGGACGAGACUAGUACUAAGUUAGGUGGCUACUUGAGAAGUCGUUGUGUUGCAUCUC